rnacentral:rRNA from 1 species
CGGAGGAUCCAAGCGUUAUCCGGAAUCAUUGGGUUUAAAGGGUCCGUAGGCGGUUUAGUAAGUCAGUGGUGAAAGCCCAUCGCUCAACGGUGGAACGGCCAUUGAUACUGCUAAACUUGAAUUAUAAGGAAGUAACUAGAAUAUGUAGUGUAGCGGUGAAAUGCUUAGAUAUUACAUGGAAUACCAAUUGCGAAGGCAGGUUACUACUUAUGGAUUGACGCUGAUGGACGAAAGCGUGGGGAGCGAACAGGAUUAGAUACCCUGGUAGUCCACGCCGUAAACGAUGGAUACUAGCUGUUCGGAGCAAUCUGAGUGGCUAAGCGAAAGUGAUAGGUAUCCCACCUGGGGAGUACGUUCGCAAGAAUG